rnacentral:lncRNA from 1 species
AGAGAUUUAUACUUGUAAUUUCCCAGAACAUUUGAAUUAGAGAUGUGAGCCCCGAUGCCAACUGUCUACAGGUUGAAGUUAUAAAGAGGCUUAGGCACAUCAUGUUGAAGGGAGCAAUUUGGGAAGAGUCUCACUGUGUUGCCCAGGCUGGAGUACAAUGCUGCCAUCUCGGUUCACUGCAACCUCCAUCUCCCAGCAAACUGAGGGAAAGUGUGAAAGGUUCAUGGGGCUGGCCGUAAGAGCCUUCGUGUACCUCUUGGUUCCUCUGUGCCAGCAAACAGAAGACUUCUCUUCACAAGACCACUUGGUAGCCUAUGUGGAUUGACUCUGCAUUACAGAUCUCUGACUUCCAUACUGGUUUGUGGCUGCAAUAGAGGACUCUUCACGUCUUUCUAACCCUCCUCAAUUGUAGAAACAUGGAACAGCAACAUUCUUAAAUGCUCAUGUACCUUUAUUAAAGUAUUAUAUUUGCAGUGAUCAUUUAAUAAGUAGAUAGGCUGAAUAUUUUAUAAUCUUUUCUGAGCCAAUUGUUUGUGUGUGUUUUGCUGAAAAUGACCUUUUUAAAA